rnacentral:rRNA from 1 species
CACGUAGGGGGCGAGCGUUGUCCGGAAUUACUGGGCGUAAAGGGCGCGCAGGCUGUUAUGCGAGUCUGCUGUGAAAUGUACCGGCUCAACCGGUGCCUUGCGGCGGAUACUGCAUAGCUGGAGUUCGAGAGAGGCGAGUGGAAUUCCGAGUGUAGAGGUGAAAUUCGUAGAUAUUCGGAGGAACACCAGUGGCGAAGGCGGCUCGCUGGCUCGACACUGACGCUGAGGUGCGAAAGCGUGGGGAGCAAACAGGA